AGCCAGCAGCUGCAUCCUGCUCCUGUCUGGUUUUGUGCCGUGGAAGCUUUGUUCUUUCACUCUCCGUAAUAAAUCUUGAUGAUCCUCACUCUUUGGGUCUGCGCUAUCUCUAUGAGCUGUAAUACUCACUGCGAGGCUCUGUGCCUUCAUUCCUGAAGUCAGGGAGACCACAAACCCACCAGAAGGUACAAACAACUCCGGAUGCGCCACCUUUAAGAGCUAUAACACUCACCGCGAGGGUCUGUGGCUUCAUUCCUGGAGUCAGUGAGACCACGAACCCACCAGAAGGAAGAAACUCCGGACACAUCUGAACAUCUGAAGGAACAAACUCCAGACACACCAUCUUUAAGAACUGUAACACUCACUGGGAGGCUUUGUGGCUUCAUUCUUGAAGACAGUGAGAUCAAGAACCCACCAGAAGGAAUAAAUUCUGGACACAGCAACAGCACAAAGUUAAACCAGGAAGUCCCUCUGCCUUGCUAGGGAUCCAGCUUUGCCUUCUUGUUGAGGUAUCCCAUUUCAUUACAGUUGACCUAAGUUUGAACAAACACUGCCACCUGAUGCAUGAAAGCUCUACUGUGACCUACGUUAAAAGGAACUGACACUCCCUCAGGCUACCUUAGUCAGUGGGGGCUUAUUGCAGCAUACCUGUGGCAAUGAGAGAGAGAGGCACAUCACAGGAGCAUCUGGCACCAGUGGCAUCCCAGUGGGUGAAAUGUCAUAUGGACACUGGAAGGAUCUAACACUGAGGUGGCCCUUCAUCUCUGUGCUGUUCACCGCGAGCAUGCCUGGGCUGCUCUUCUGUGUUCUUCCUGAUGUUCCUCAGGAUACUAAUUGAUUGUUUUUUAGAAUUUCCCAGUUCAUAUUCCCGAGAACCCAUUGCCCUAUUUAAUCAUCACUUCUGUUGCUGCAGAACUUUGUGCAGUACUGGGGUUGCUUGCUGCCUUAAUGUCACGGGUUGGCCAGGCAUCCAGUCAUAGGGCAAAGUAGGCUCUUGUGGUAUCGAAAUGGCCACCCUCCUUCAAGGAGCAGCAGGUCCUCUUCCUCAGCACGGCAGGCAAUGGUGAGGAAGAGACUAGUUUUCCUUUGAAGAGGAUUUUGAGAAAAGGUUGGCCCAUCUAAAAUACAUUUUACAAUUCUCUAUUCCCAAACCCUGAAUAAUCCUUGGAGGUCACUCACUGUGCAGGAGGCUGAAGAAGGGUAACACUGUCACAACUGCAGACACAGACCCUUCUGGCUCCACCUCUAUCCUACCCUAGAACUAGAUUAAAGAGAGACUCUGGAGAACUUACUUACACCCAAUGGGGUACUUCUACAUUUCUCUAAAGUCAGGAGACACUUUCCCUUUGUGAAUAUUUAUACUUCUGAAGACAUUUGCAAAUCUUUAAACUCUUUGUUAAACAGUAGUUCAUACUGUCCCCCUAUAAUUCAGAAAAGCAUAACUUCAAAAGAAUGAUGACAAACUUGGCCGGGCACGGUGGCUGAUGCCUGUAAUCCCAGCACUUUGGGAGGCCGAGGCGGGUGGAUCACCUGAGGUCAGGAGUUUGAGAUCAGCCUACCCAAUGUGGCAAAACCCCGUUUCUACUAAACAUACAAAAAAUUAGCCAGGCAUGGUGGCGGGCACCUGUAAUCCCAGCUACUGGGGAGGCUGAGGCAAGAGAAUCACUUGAACCUGGGAGGCAGAGCUUGCAGUGAGCCGAGAUAGCGCCACUGCACUCCAUCCUGGGCGACAAGAGUGAAACUCCGUCUCAAAAAAAAAAAAGACAAACUCAGUGAAACACAUAGAACAAUCAAGGUGUACUGAGAUGUAGACAGUGGCAGUGAACAAUUCUCUACCCAAUGCUGAAGGAGAGUCAUUGCCCACCAUAAGUCAAUCCAAAUCUGAGAAAAUUACAACUUAACCCCUUUACUUUAAGGGUUGCCCAUGAAUAGUCACAGCUAGUUAUGUCAAAUCCUUAAAUGCUGGAGUCUGUGUUUACAUCUCUACCCAUAUCCUUUCAUUUAUUUCAUUUCAUACCAAAAUGAACAGACCUAUUACAUGAUGUUUAGAUUUUCUAGGCUUGUCCACAUCUCCCAUAUAUAAGAUGUAGUGUGUAUAAAGUGCUUAAUACAAUGUCUGCUGCAUAGUAAGCACUCCAUAAAUGUUAACUGUGACAUACAUAUAUAUUAAACCUAUACUAGCUGG